GACGAACGCUGGCGGCGUGCUUAACACAUGCAAGUCGAACGGAAAGGCCCUGCUUUUGUGGGGUGCUCGAGUGGCGAACGGGUGAGUAACACGUGAGUAACCUGCCCUUGACUUUGGGAUAACUUCAGGAAACUGGGGCUAAUACCGGAUAGGAGCUCCUGCUGCAUGGUGGGGGUUGGAAAGUUUCGGCGGUUGGGGAUGGACUCGCGGCUUAUCAGCUUGUUGGUGGGGUAGUGGCUUACCAAGGCUUUGACGGGUAGCCGGCCUGAGAGGGUGACCGGCGACAUUGGGACUGAGAUACGGCCCAGACUCCUACGGGAGGCAGCAGUGGGGAAUAUUGCACAAUGGGCGGAAGCCUGAUGCGGAAACGCAGCGUGCGGGAUGACGGCCUUCGGGUUGUAAACCGCUUUCGCCUGUGACGAAGCGUGAGUGACGGUAAUGGGUAAAGAAGCACCGGCUAACUACGUG
rnacentral:rRNA from 1 species